UACGAAGGGGGCUAGCGUUGCUCGGAAUCACUGGGCGUAAAGGGUGCGUAGGCGGGUCUUUAAGUCAGGGGGUGAAAUCCUGGAGCUCAACUCCAGAACUGCCUUUGAUACUGAAGAUCUUGAGUUCGGGAGAGGUGAGUGGAACUGCGAGUGUAGAGGGUGAAAAUUCGUAGAUAUUAGGAAGAACACCAGUGGCGAAGGCGGCUCACUGGUCCGG
rnacentral:rRNA from 1 species